rnacentral:rRNA from 1 species
GUCGAGAAUCUUUCACAAUGGGGGCAACCCUGAUGGAGCGACGCCGCGUGGAGGAUAAGGUCUUCGGAUUGUAAACUCCUGUCAUGCGUGAACAAGGUUGCUUGGUUAAUACCUGGGCAAAUUGAUGGUAACGCAAGAGGUAGAGACGGCUAACUCUGUGCCAGCAGCCGCGGUAAUACAGAGGUCUCAAGCGUUGUUCGGAAUCACUGGGCGUAAAGGGUGCGUAGGUGGCGUGGUAAGUCAGAUGUGAAAGCCCGGGGCUCAACCUCGGAACUGCAUCCGAUACUGCCAUGCUAGAGUACUGGAGAGGUGACUAGAAUUCUCGGUGUAGCAGUGAAAUGCGUAGAUAUCGAGAGGAAUACCAAAGGCGUAGGCAGGUCACUGGACAGUUACUGACACUGAGGCACGAAGGCCAGGGGAGCGAACGGGAUUAGAUACCCGUGUAGUCC